rnacentral:rRNA from 1 species
GUCCUGGCCGUAAACGCUGCGAGCAAGGUGUUGCAUAUUCUUCGGGAAUGUGCAGUAUCGAAACGAAGGUGUUAAGCUCGCCGCCUGGGAAGUAUGGUCGCAAGACUGAAACUUAAAGGAAUUGGCGGGGGAGCACCACAAGGGGUGCGGCGUGCGGUUUAAUUCAAUUCAACGCGGGAAAUCUCACCAGAGGCGACGGCAGGAUGAAGGUCAGGCUGAAGGUCUUACCCAACGAGCCGAGAGGUAGUGCAUGGCCGUCGU